rnacentral:rRNA from 1 species
CAGAGGGGGCAAGCGUUGUUCGGAAUUACUGGGCGUAAAGGGCGCGUAGGCGGCCUGCUAAGUCGAACGUGAAAUCCCCGGGCUCAACCCGGGAACUGCGUCCGAGACUGACAGGCUUGAAUCCGGGAGAGGGAUGUGGGAUUCCAGGUGUAGCGGUGAAAUGCGUAGAUAUCUGGAGGAACAUCGGCGGCGAAGGCGGCAUCCUGGACCGGUAUUGACGCUGAGGCGCGAAAGCCAGGGGAGCAAACGGGAUUAGAUACCCCGGUAGUCCUGGCCCUAAACGAUGAAUGCUUGGUGUGGUGGGUAUCGAUCCCCGCCGUGCCGAAGCUAACGCAUUAAGCAUUCCGCCUGGGGAGUACGGUCGCAAGGCUG